GGGAUCGCCCUUCCUACGGGAGGCAGCAGUAAGGAAUAUUGGUCAAUGGAGGCAACUCUGAACCAGCCAUGGCGCGUGCAGGAAGACUGCCCUAUGGGUUGUAAACUGCUUUUGUACGGGAAUAAACCUUGAUUCGUGAAUCAAGCUGAAUGUACCGUAAGAAUAAGGAUCGGCUAACUCCGUGCCAGCAGCCGCGGUAAUAAGGGCGAUCCAAUCA
rnacentral:rRNA from 1 species